AAGAAAAUAACUAUGAUUCCCUUAGUAACGGCGAGUGAACAGGGAAAAGCCCAAAUUUGUAAUCUGGCACUUUUUACAAGUGUCCGAGUUGUAAUUUGUAGAGCUGUUAUCCGUACUGGACCAUGUACAAGUCUGUUGAAAAGCAGCAUCAUUGAAGGUGAAAAUCCUGUAGAUGAUAUGGACUACCAGUAUAUUUGUGAUACGGUUUCUAAGAGUCGAGUUGUUUGGGAAUGCAGCUCAAAGUGGGUGGUAAAUUCCAUCUAAGGCUAAAUAUAAGUGAGAGACCGAUAGCAAACAAGUACCGUGAGGGAAAGAUGAAAAGAACUUUGAAAAUAGAGUUAACAGUACGUGAAAUUGCUGAAAGGGAAACGUUUGAAGUUAGUUUUGUAUUCGUUGGAUCAGCUUCGCAAGGAGUGUAUUCUGAUGAUAAGCAAGUCAACAUCAGUCUAUGAGUGUUGGAUAAGGGUUUUGAGAAUGUAGCAAUUUAAUUGUGUUAUAGCUUGAGACUUGGAUACAAUGCUUUGGAUUGAGGAACGCGUAGUAAGCUUUGAGCGGAUUCGAAAGGAUCUCCUUACUAUGGAUGUUGGUGAAAUAACUUUAAGCGACCCGUCUUGAAACACGGACCAAGGAGUCUAACAUGCUUGCGAGUAUUAGGGUGUUGAAACCCGAAUGCGUAAUGAAAGUGAAUCUAAGAUGUGAUCCGCAAGGUGCAACAUCGGCCAGUCUGGAUCAUUUAUGUGAAGGUACUGAGCAAGAGCAAGUAUGUUAGGACCCGAAAGAUGGUGAACUAUGCCUGGAUAGGGUGAAGUCAGAGGAAACUCUGAUGGAAGCUCGUAGCGGUUCUGACGUGCAAAUCGAUCGUAGAAUCUGGGUAUAGGGGCGA
rnacentral:rRNA from 1 species